rnacentral:lncRNA from 1 species
CAGCGCCGGACCGACCCAUGUCGCGCCCGCAUUGGGUCCCGGGACCCCGGCGGGAGUGCCGCGUCCGUCCUUUCCAGUCGCCGGGAGUCUGAGUCGCGGGCCACGCGGGAGUGGCGGUGGAGAGCCCGCCGGUCGUUAUGAGGACGGAUCUAAAAUGACCAGCAAACGGAAACCUUGCCAAACGCAGCUCAGGAGAUCCAUCAGUGAGCAGUUGCGGGACUCCACGGCCAGAGCCUGGGAUCUGCUGUGGAAGAACGUCCGGGAGAGGCGGCUGGCAGGGUCUUGCUGUGUCACCCAGGAUGGAGUGCAGUGGUGUGAUCUUGGUUCACUGAAACCUCAACUUCUGUGGCUCAAGCCAUCCUCCCACUUCAGCCUCCUGAGUAGCUGGGACUACAGAUACAUGCUACCAUGCCCAGCUAAUUUUUUAAAAUUUUUUGAAGAGACAGAGUCUCGCCAUGUUGCCUGGGCUGGCCUCAAACUCUCCGGCUCAAGCAAUCCUUCCACCUCGGCUUCCCCAAAUGUUGAGAUUACAGGUGUGAGCCACCGAACAUGGCCAGCAGGCAGCUUAUAAUCAGCCAAUUCUAGGCCAUGUUGUAAGGAAGUGGACCUGUCUUUGACAGCAGGGUCCUGGCACCCAAGUGGACACAGGUGGUGGUCCUGUAACAGUGGCUUGAUUACGCUGUUUUGUGUGUCUAAUCUGAACAUAGGGAAGUAUAAGAUGUGUAAGCAGCUUUAUCAAAGAGUUAUAACAAGUUUUACUUUCCAGAUAUGAAAUGCUGAAUUUGUAUAAAUAAAUUAAACCUUAAUAGC